GAUGAACGCUGGCGGCGUGCCUAAUACAUGCAAGUCGAGCGAACAGACGAGGAGCUUGCGGCUCUCACGUGAGGGGCGGACGGGAGAGUAACACGUGGAUAACCUACCUAUAAUACUGGUAUAACCUCGGGAAACCGGCGCUAAUACCGGAGAAUAUAUUGAAGCGCAGGGGGCAAUAGUGAAAGACGGUGUUGCUGGAAGUUCUAGAGGGAUCCGCGCCGCAUUAGCUGGUUGGUAAGGUAAAGGCUUAUUAAGGCAACGAUGGGUAGCCGACGUGAGAGAGUGGUAGGCCACACUGGAACUGAGCCGCGCUCCAGGCGCCUACGGUACGCAGCAGUAGGGAAUCUUCCGCAAUGGGCGAAAGCCUGACGGAGCAACGCCGCGCGAGUGAUGGAGGUCUCCGGAGCGUAAUGCUCUGUUAUUAGGUAAAAACAGAUGUGUACGUAACUGUGGCCGUCUUGACGGUACCUAAUCAGAAAGCCCCGGCUAACUACGUG
rnacentral:rRNA from 1 species